GGUGGCAACUUGCAUCUUCUGACUAAUGCACAAAGAGUUUGUAAAAAAUAAAUAAAUAAAAUAAAAUGACCGCUGCCUAUAAGCCAAAAGAAGAGAUCUCUGAAUGAAAUCUACCUUACUAUCUUCUUGACCUUGGACUUCCAGCUUCUAGAAUGCAAUAAAUGCAUGUGAAGGACCGAAUUACAACUGCAAGAGUACCUAAAACUUAUUGAGAUCACUGGACAACCUGGAGUAUUUUCUACCAUUACAUCUAAAUGUAAUAGAAUUUGAAUAAAACCACAAAUUCUGCUUUAGGAUUCUCAACCUACACAAAUAAGAAAGAUCUAAUUCUGAAAUUAAACAAAAUCAAAAGUAGACUACUGUUUAUGGAUUGAUUCUUGAUACAAGAGAAAUUUAA
rnacentral:lncRNA from 1 species